rnacentral:rRNA from 1 species
GAUGAACGCUGGCGGCAUGCCUAACACAUGCAAGUCGGACGGGAAACACGGGCUACGGUGUUUCUAGAGGCGGACGGGUGAGUAACGCGUAUGAACCUGUCCUUGGGAGGGGAACAAAAGCUGGAGACGGGUGCUAAUACACCGCAGGCUGCGGAGCAAAAGGAGGAAUGGGUCCGAGGAGGGGGGGGUGUCUGAUUAGCCAGGUGGAGAGGCAAUAGCUUAUCAGGGAGAGGAACAGGAGCUGGUCCGAGAGGAUGAUGAGCCAGACUGGGACGGGAAGACGGAGUGGAGUACUACGGAAGGCGGCAGUGAGGAAUUUUCCGCAAUGGGCGAAAGCCUGACGAGGCAAUGCGACGUGGAAGUAGAAGGCGUUGGGGUCAUGAGCAGCUUUUCAAGAAGAAGAUGCAAUGACGGUACCUGGAGAAUAAGCAUCGGCUAACUCUGUG